rnacentral:tRNA from 1 species
CAUUAGAUAACUUAAAGUAAGUAAAGGUCUCUUAAACCUAACAAUAAUAAUUAACGACUAUUUCUAAUGA